CCCCCAAGAAAACCACCCCGCAGGAGGAACGUCGUUCUUCUCGAUCCCCUCCCGUCGCCGCCGCCCUCCUCUCGAUCCCCUCCCGUCGCCGCCGCCCUCCUCUCGAUCCCCUCCCGUCGCCGCCUCCGUCCUCUCGAUCCCCUCGAGUAAGCAGCGCCGCCGUUGGCUCGCGAUCUCCUCGAUUAAACGCCGCCGCCGCCGUUUCUCGAUGCCCUCGAGAUCGCUGCGCCGCCAUCGUCUCUCCAUCCCCUCGAGAUCCCAGAUCCCACACCGCCACCGAGCGUAGCACCGACCACGAUCUCCCCACUGGCUGCCUCGGCGCCGUACGGCCGCGCGCCAGGAGUCCAACUUCAAGAAGGAACAUCGGCCGGGGCUGCAGCGCGCACGCCAAGUUCUACGCUCGCUGGUCUGUACGCGAAGGGGUCAGGCGGGAGAUACAGAAGCCAGCAGAUCGAGGGAGCCGGCAAUUGCGUUCUCAAGUCGUAAGGGAGGGCAAUAAUUUUCAGUGAGGCUGCGGACGGGAUGAACCAAACUCCUGCACCCACUAUGCAGGCAAGUAAUCUCUUACCCUUAAAUUCCCUGCAUUGUUUUACAGUUCAUUAAAUCCAUUAUCCAAGAAAACAAUUAUUUAUGUUUCUAUAUCAAGAAUAAUAUUCUCAACCGGAUUAUGAGCAAAAAGAAGGGAAGGUGAUCAGGACUGCAUCUUCAAGCGGCACCACAAAAUCCUUGCAUUAGGUCUAUGUUUAAUGCAUCAGAGUCGAACCUUAGACAAUAAGCAAUAGUGAAUUUUUUUGUUUGCCAAUGAAAUCAGAUGAUGUUUCUCACGAAGAUGGUACACAUAGUGUGUUGUCUGUUGUUUCUUCAUAACACAUGCUAAAUAUCGGAUUAUCUUCAUUGUAUAGCUAAUCCUUCUGCCCUCUGCAUUAGGCGAAGGCAUAAGCCUAGAUUCAGAAUAUAUUAUUAUAUGUUGGACAUUUUAGUAUUUACCAUCUUCCUAGAUUCUGCUAUUAUUGUUGACUGUAUAAUCGUUUCUUAAUCAGAAUUAAGAAAUCUUUCUGACCAAAAUAAUUAAGCAUGUAUGAAGUACUCCAGACUAGCGAUUUUUAUAUUUAAAGAAAACCGUAUGAAAAUUUUCAUGUAACUGUUACCGUAUAACUAAUCUUCAUUUCUAAUUUUCAUGUAACUGUUUCCUUUCAAAAUAUAAGGAGAAAUUUUCAGCUAGGACAAACGUAAGUGUAGUUUUACAUGAUACAAAAGGAAAUUAUUGUGUGCCAAGUAUAUACAUGUUUAGCAUUUUGUACAUCGAAUUGGGCACACACAUAAUUAUUUCUGGUAACUUUUAUAUGCAAGGGAUAUAUGAGGUCACCGAGGAGAUCCUUACUGCAAUCGCAUGCCUCAACGCCCAAUGGUCCUAUAAUCGAGGAUGUCAGGAAUGUGGCUACGCUCUACGACAGUGAUGUAAGGGAGAAGUGGCAACACAAAUGAGUUGGUAGGAGAGUUCAAGAAUUUGUUACUCCCAUUGCAACGCACGGGCAUGUCAGAGAAAAUGUUCGAGCUCUCCUAGCGCGUCCACUUUCUUCCGUGGCCAGCAGCAGCGACAAAAAAUCUGGGCACUUAGGGACACCUCACCACUGGAUGAAACUCACAACGACCGGAAUCUACAUCAUCAGUGUGUCACGGCGUCCCUCCUCUAGCUCACUCAUGAUCUUCGCACGUGACCUGCGGUGAGGACCAGUUUCUUAGGGGACAUAGUUGAAGAGCAGCAUUGAUUGGUAAGCCUCGUAUGGUAUUACUUGCAUAAUAAAGAUUGAAAUUUAUCAGUUCGUUUCCUAUUUUUUCUCCGUUUUACUAUCUUUAUUUGCAAAGUUAAAUAAGUAUGUAUGUUUUAGGCCUAUAAUUUACUAACUAUUUCAAUCUCUCUUGUGGAUCUAUGGUGAGGUGCGUGGUGACCUGUGGCGCGUGAGGGCAUCUGGAUGUUGGUAGACGCACUAAGUUGCGGCGGCCACCAACUGCAGCAGCUGCACUACAGGGCGGCGGGCGGCAGUAGCAAGAUGAGGCAGCGACCAGCAGCAGCUGCACAACGGGGCGGCAUUAGCGAGUAGCAGCAGUAAGGCAAGGCAGUGGUGAGCAGCGGAACAACCAUGCAAACUGCAAGAAGAAUGAAGCAGUGGUAGCAACAUAUGGUGAAUCAUCAGAUACCCAUGAGAUGAAGUACCAUGCUAUCUUUUAGUCAGAUAAGUUGAUGAUAUGUGCCAAAUUAUACAUGAUAGGCUCCUUAUUUCAAAAGGAUUAAAUGAGUCUAGAUGGUCAUGGCUUGUCGUCCGUCUUGAAGCGGAUUCAGAGCCCGGUAGGAUCGCACACCGUAUCGCUUGGACAUCGGAAGAAGAUGAUGCAGACAAGCGUUCGGUCGAAAAACUUAAAUUAUUCCAUCGAUAGAAUAACAUGAAGAACAAGUACUGGGAUAACAUGGUUGUUACUACAAUAGUAAAAUGCCAAGUCACGGGAGGAGAGAUGCCCAGCAUGUAUGAUGGACAUGGUGGCUCGGAGGUGAGGUUAUCUUCUCUUGAAAAUCUUGACCCACAAAAGAAAUUAACCUUGACGCCGUGGGAACCAGGAAAGCGUACAUCACGAAUGGCCCCACAAUUUGGUGGUGUUUGUGCGUUGUGCGGUCAAACCUUUCUACCAGCUCCAUGGCGACGCAACAGUAUCACCUUCUCAGGGAGAUGAGAUGAUGGGAUGUGGCCGCGUCGUGCUACCUGUUGUUGUUGUGCUAGCUUUGUUGUGUGUAUGUGUGUGUAAGAGAGAGAGAGAGAGAGAGAGAG